rnacentral:rRNA from 1 species
ACCACGAAGCAGUAGACCUGACCGCAAGGAGGGCGCCUACCACGGUGUGGUCAAUGACUGGGGUG